rnacentral:rRNA from 1 species
ACGGAAGGCAGCAGUGGGGAAUAUUGGGCAAUGGGCGAAAGCCUGACCCAGCGACGCCGCGUGAGGGAAGAAGGUCUUCGGAUUGUAAACCUUAGUCAACAGGGAAGAAGAAAGUGACGGUACCUGUGGAGGAAGCCACGGCUAACUACGUGCCAGCAGCCGCGGUAAUACGUAGGUGGCGAGCGUUAUCCGGAUUUACUGGGUGUAAAGGGUGUGUAGGCGGGGCGGCAAGUCAGAUGUGAAAAUUAUGGGCUCAACUCAUAACCUGCAUUUGAAACUGCUGUUCUUGAGUAUCGGAGAGGUAAGCGGAAUUCCCGGUGUAGCGGUGAAAUGCGUAGAUAUCGGGAGGAACAUCGGUGGCGAAGGCGGCUUACUGGACGACAACUGACGCUGAGACACGAAAGUGUGGGGAGCAAACAGGAUUAGAUACCCUGGUA